rnacentral:rRNA from 1 species
ACGGGAUUUAGUAGACAGAAACCUCGGUGGAAGAUUACUAAUGAGAGUGGCGAACGGGCGAGUAACGCGUGAGCAACCUGCCUAUGACAGUGGGAUAGCCUCGGGAAACCGGGAUUAAUACCGCAUAAAAUCGUAGAAACACAUGUUUUAACGGUCAAAGAUUUAUCGGUCAUAGAUGGGCUCGCGUCUGAUUAGCUAGUUGGUGAGAUAACAGCCCACCAAGGCGACGAUCAGUAGCCGGUCUGAGAGGAUGAACGGCCACAUUGGAACUGAGACACGGUCCAAACUCCUACGGGAGGCAGCAGUGGGGAAUAUUGCACAAUGGGGGAAACCCUGAUGCAGCGACGCCGCGUGAACGAAGAAGGUAUUCGUAUCGUAAAGUUCUGUCCUAUGGGAAGAUAAUGACAGUACCAUAGAAGAAAGCUCCGGCUAAAUACGUGCCAGCAGCCGCGGUAAUACGUAUGGAGCGAGCGUUGUCCGGAAUUAUUGGGCGUAAAGGGUACGCAGGCGGUUUAAUAAGUCGAAUGUUAAAGAUCGGGGCUCAACCCCGUAAAGCAUUGGAAACUGAUAAACUUGAGGUAUGGAAGGGAAAGUGGAAUUCCUAGUGUAGCGGUGAAAUGCGCAGAUAUUAGGAGGAAUACCGGUGGCGAAGGCGACUUUCUGGCCAUAACCUGACGCUGAGGUACGAAAGCGUGGGUAGCAAACAGGAUUAGAUACCCUGGUAGUCCACGCCGUAAACGACGAGUGUUAGGUGUCUGGAGUAAAUCUGGGUGCCGCAGCUAACGCAUUAAACACUCCGCCUGGGGAGUACGCACGCAAGUGUG